GAGAACUGUUACUUCAAGAAAUCAAAUGAUAGGGUAACGCCUAUAAGGGUUUCCUCUGAUACUCCGACAUGCGUGAAGCAGUGAUAAUAACUGUAAAUGUAUGAAGCUCGGUAAAGUCGGCUGAGAGUGACCGUAAGAUGAAAUUUGUCACGAAAGUCAUCCAGAGGUGGAUGAUGUCACCUAUAGGUCGGGAGUCUAUAAA
rnacentral:ncRNA from 1 species